GACGAACGCUGGCGGCGUGCUUAACACAUGCAAGUCGAGCGGUAAGGCCCUUUCGGGGGUACGACGAGCGGCGAACGGGUGAGUAACACGUGGGUGACCUGCCUUCAGCUCUGGGGAUAAGCCUGGGAAACUGGGUCUAAUACUGGAUAUUACUCUGCGGUGCAUGCCGUGGGGUGGAAAGCCUUGUGCGGCUGGGGAGUGGGCCCGCGGCCUAUCAGCUUGUUGGUGGGGUGAUGGCCUACCAAGGCGACGACGGGUAGCCGGCCUGAGAGGGCGACCGGCCACACUGGGGACUGAGACACGGCCCAGACUCCUACGGGAGGCAGCAGUGGGGAAUCUUGCGCAAUGGGC
rnacentral:rRNA from 1 species